UUUUUUUUUCAUCAGUUCAUAAAAAUCAAGAUAUACAACACGUGUGAUACUCAAUAAGUAUUUUACGUCAGGAAGUAUAUAAAUACGUGUGACAAAAUCCUCUUUACUGCAUUCAAGAGUGGGAAGAGAAUCAUUUUAUGAAAGGAUCUAAAGCAGCGUGAUAAAAUCACUAAAAUGUCAUGUGGAGGUCAUUCCACCUUCUUCAGAUUUGGCUGUCUAUUCCUCCUCAUGGCUCUUAUACUGGACGUUAUAGGUGUAGCUGCGCCAUAUUGGAUCUAUGGCGAGGCUAAUGGCUUGAAAGUAUAUGCAGGACUCUGGAAACAGUGUCUUUCCGCCAAUACCCCUGACCUAAAAAUUUCCAAAUGCACUGAGUAUGGCGAUGUCCCAGGUAACAAUUAAUUAAAAAUUGGUUUAAAUCAGUUCGAGCAUCUGGACUGCUUGGGAUUUUUAUUUCGGUCAUUGCUCUUAUUUCUGCCAUCCUCAAGAUACGUUUCAAGGACCGAGUCUUCGUGCUAAUCAUUGUGAUCAUCUUGUCCUUUUUGAGUGCUGUGUGCACCAUGGUGUCCAUUGCUGUUUACGCAGGAAAAUAUCAUGCAUCGGAAAAAUACAGCAGUUUUGUCAAAUUCAGCUUUGCAUUUGCUUUUUGUGCAGUUUCCAUCGUUCUCUCGGCCAUAGCUGGAAUUUGCAUGAUUAUUGAAUUGUCAAAGAGGUCAUCUUACACUACAAUAGUUGGGCGCUGAGAAAACACCAAUUUAGGACUGCCGUAAUGAAAAAAAAUACUCAAUGUUUUACAUAUAUGAGGACUGUCCAAAAAGUCUAUUACAAUGUUCAUAACGUUAUAAACAUUCAACAAAUUCAUUCAAUACAAUCAAAUUUGGCAUGACCAUAACAAAUUCAAUAUGUUCCUGAUAAUAGGGAAUUCUAAAGGACAUACGCAAUUUUAAUGCCUUUUUCCCUGGAGUUGAAAAGUUCCAAUAUCUAAGGAAACUGUCUGCUACAUUUUAUUGUCCAUAUGAUUAUGUAUGUUAAUUAUAAUUAUGGAUUCAUUCUAUCUAUUCCCACUUUUUGAAAAUCAUGUAGAAAAAGGUAAGAUUUUAUAUGAGAAUAGGUGUAAUUUUGUGUAAA